rnacentral:rRNA from 1 species
UACGUAGGUGGCGAGCGUUGUCCGGAUUUACUGGGCGUAAAGAGCGCGCAGGCGGUCGUUCAAGUCGCGUGUGAAAGCCCCCGGCUCAACUGGGGAGGGUCACGCGAUACUGAUCGACUCGAAGGCAGGAGAGGGAAGUGGAAUUCCCGGUGUAGUGGUGAAAUGCGUAGAUAUCAGGAGGAACACCAAUGGCGAAGGCAGCACUCUGGGACGUGACUGACGCUGAGACGCGAAAGCGUGGGGAGCAAACAGG